rnacentral:rRNA from 1 species
UACGGGGGGAGCAAGCGUUGUUCGGAUUUACUGGGCGUAAAGGGCGCGUAGGCGGCGCCGCAAGUCGACUGUGAAAUCUCCGGGCUUAACCCGGAAAGGUCAGCCGAUACUGCGGGGCUAGAGUGCAGAAGGGGCAACUGGAAUUCUCGGUGUAGCGGUGAAAUGCGUAGAUAUGCGGAGGAACACCGAUGGCGAAGGCAAUCCCCUGGGCCUGCACUGACGCUCAUGCACGAAAGCGUGGGGAGCAAACAGG